rnacentral:lncRNA from 1 species
GGGGCAGGGUGGAAGAGGAAAGGGUGCGGCAGUUGGCUGGUCCGCACCUGGGAGCUCUGCGCGCCUGCUCCCCUGGACUCCACACUGGGGCGGGAGCUGCACGGGCCGUAUCCCACGGGAAGGAGAAGGAGGAAGAGGACGACGACGCCGAGGAGACCCAGGAUUCUGAGGACGACGAGGAGCAUGAGAUAGAGGACGACGAUGACUCUGAUUAUCUGGAGGAGAUAGAAGACCACGACGACGACACCAGUUACUGCACGGAAAGCAGCUUCAGGAGCCAUAGUACCUACAGCAGCACUCCAGGCCACCUCCUCCAUCCCCCUUGAAGACUGAAAAAGGGGAACUCGAAAGAAAAACUGAAAAUUUCAGACCGAGCUACAGCACAGGAGACCAUGCUGUCAUCCUGAAGCAGAGGCUGGGGACGCCGCCAAGAGGAUCACAGCAUCCUCCAGGGUUCACUGAUGCCACUGACCUAGGCUUUCUUUUUCUUUUCUUAUCUU